rnacentral:piRNA from 1 species
GCGUGGACCUCGUUUCUGAUUUUUGGCUC